GACGGAGGAUGCAAGUGUUAUCCGGAAUUAUUGGGCGUAAAGCGUCUGUAGGUGGUUUAAAAAGUCCAUGGUUAAAACUUGAAGCUUAACUUCAAAGAUGCCAUGGAAACUUUUAAACUUGAGUAUGGUAGGGGUAAAGGGAAUUUCCAGUGGAGCGGUGAAAUGCGUAGAUAUUGGAAAGACCACCGACGGCGAAGGCACUUUACUGGGCCAUUACUGACACUAAGAGACGAAAGCUAGGGGAGCAAAUGGG
rnacentral:rRNA from 2 species